ensembl:lncRNA
AAAAGGGCCCAAUGAUACCAUCAGGUGGUCUUGGAGAUUUUGCCUCCAACUCAGGUGGGUGCCAAUUCUACUUUGUAACAUUUCCUCCUCUUGUUACCACCCAGAAGGAGAUGGCAGCUGUUGCCUGAUGACCCAGAAAAGUGUCUGAUUAGUAGCUGCAAGUGCACCCACCAAAAACAAUUACUGCACUUGUUCAGUCCAUCUGGGAGGGAGACUGAAGUAGCUCAGAGGGUGAGCAAAAGGAGAGGGAAGCUGCUCUUGGUUUUGCGUGUUCAACCUCUUUAAGUGACAGAACAAACAGUAAGAGUUGUCCAGAAUGAACUUAAGCGAAAGUUUAACAGUUGCUCCAUACAAGGAUAUGGGCUCUUUCCCUACCAUUUGUCUGUCUAGAUAGUACAGCAGCUUAGAUCAAGCGCCAUAGCAGCCAAGGAACAGAACAUGUAAGCUGCCCCUCGCUCACCCUGCCAGUCCUCAUUGCACUCCCCACCCCCCGACCCCCCAAGCAAGGAGAGAGGCUACUCUCUCGUCCUCUCGAUAGCGCACCAGCACUCGCUCUCUGGGGAACGUGGGUUCGGCCCCGGACACUCCACGGCACUGCCACGGCCACUUUGACAAGAGAGGGGAGCGGGUCGGGGGGGGGGUUUGCAAAACACUCGCCUUCAAAAAAAAAAAAAAGGAANAAAACACGCAUAGAACAAAAGGGGGGGGGGGGGGGGAGAGCGACAGGCAAUUCGCCAGGAAGAAUAGGAUAAACACGUUAGUCGCAGAGAGAGGCGUGCCAAAAGGCUUCACAUGGACCCACCUCAGAGACCCGGGACCACGCACGGCGUCAGGCUUUGCCCGGCAGGAACGGCCAGCCAGCAAACACCAGCUUCUCUGAGACCAUCUGAAUCAGGACAACAGCCUGAGAGAAAAGGAUUAAGUGCUGCUGGCACUGCAUCAGUUUCCGGAUUGGGCAGGGCAAGCCAAACGGAAAGAUGCACCACUUGUAGAGGAUUUGGAAUGGUCGGAAACCUCUUAUGCUGGCAAAAAUGCCCUCAUGCUGGUAGUACCUUCCUGUGCCAGCUGAUCUUAGAGAUCCACUGGCAUAUAGAUCUACUGGUAGGGAUACUUUGCCAGGAAAUGAACCAGAAAAAGGACACGGAAGGGGAGCAGUUGAGUUAUGCCAGUCCCAAGUUAUUCCAGACCGGAUUCGCAGCCACUAUGCAUACAUUUCAGACAGGGUCAGGAUGAUAAUGACAGCAAUGACAACAACAACAUGCCUUCAGGUCAUUUCUGAUUGAUGGCGACCAUUUGCAACCACAUUGCAAUGUAAUUCCCAGCAUCCUUAUGCUGCAAAGGGUUCUCAAUCAGUAUUGUCUCAGCUGGUCUUCUGCCAACUUGCCAGCCCUGGAUUUUUGGAUUGCUCCCUAUUGCAUUUGUCUCCUCUGUGGCUGCUCCAGAUAAAAUGCACAGUAGUAACCAUAGGGAAAGUGAAAAUCAAACUCAGUAAAGCAGAGUGCACAACUUUCAGACCUCCAAAUGUUGCUGGACUCCCUCCCAUCAUCCCUCACCAUUAGCUAUGCUGGCCAGUGCCAUAAUUGCCCACCCCAGAAAAAUAGGAAAAUGUUAUACAAAUAUUUGUUGCCUACAGUUACUCAUUGUCAAAGGACUGAUACUCAGUUUAAUAUUUUCUACUUAAAUCUCUCUCCACUUAUUUUUUUAAAAUAUGGCUUUUCCAACUCUUAAUCAGUGCCAAGUCUAUUUUUCAUUUAAAUCUUUGGCUUGUCAAGCCCAACAUCAGGACAAGAUGAAAAAAAAUCCCAUUAAUAGUUCAGAUUUGACAGAUAUAUAUAUAUAUAUUUUAAAUGUCUCAUCCAAUUUGGUGUUUAUGAAAUUAUGUGACAAACAGAACUGGCUGCUUCUCUCAGUUCUCAGAUGAUACAACUGAGGACAAGAAGACUCAAAAUAAGCAUGAUUUCUGCACGAGCAAAAUCCAGCACUUCAGGGUCACUUUGUGGGAAAAGACAGGAUUCGAAAAUAAAGACCUGUGAGUACGUAGGUGUCUUUGUGCA